rnacentral:lncRNA from 1 species
AUGUCUUUGCACUUCUUAGGGACAGUUGCCUGGAGAGGACCACCACAUGCUGCCGCAACAGAUGGUCGAUUCUUCCAGGCAGCGGAGUCCACAUGGAGUCGUGGAGUCAGUGUGGCCUGGCAUCCAUGGUGCAUCUCAUGCUGGCGGGUGGCUCAGGAUGGAUCAGUUUCCAUGGGACAUCCACCAUACACUGGCAAGGAAGAUGGUCAGUUCUUCUGGGACGCAAAGGCCCUCAGAGUCCUAGAGUCUGAAUGGCCUGGAUCCAUGGUGCACCCCUGCUGGUGGAUGGCUCAGGACGGAGCAGUUAAUCAUGAAAGCUCCACCACUUGGUGGGAAGGAAGAUGGUCGAUUCUUCUGCCCAACGGAGGCCGUGUUGAGUCCUUGAUUCGGCGUGCCAUGGCAUCUGCAGUGCACCCCGUGCUGGUGGGUGGCUCAGGACAGUAAGCAUUUCUCUGCCCUAUGUGCAGAGGUGUCUUUCAGAUUUUGUGAUACCCACAAAGAGCUGUUUGUCGCCAGAUCACUAAUGGCAUGGCGAGUUCCACUCCCUGAGUCGGUGUGUGCCCAUUGCUCAGUGCAUAGCCGUGGCUUCCCCAGGGUGCCGAAGGUCUUUAAGGUCAUCAGCUCGCCCACUGCCCAGCCUACAGUGUCAGACAUUCUCCCCCUUCAAAUGUGCUUGGAUCAAUGAUGAGUCCCCCAAAAAAAACAUUCCUUGGAAAAGCUGAACAAAAUGAGUGAAAACUCAUACCGUCACUCUCAUCGGAACUGAGGUCCAGCACGUUGCUUACCCUGGGGACUGUAGGAAUGAGGGACAACUUCCACUGUUUCCCAGAGGUUCCACCACCCAGGGCAUCCUCUGAUGAAAGUCUCGUAUAACAGGGACAUCGGGAACAUUCCCGUUUUGCGAGAUUAAUGGGUAAGAGCAUCAUGUGGGGAACCGCUGCUUUGUGAUGUCCUGGUGGCUAUAGAAGAAGGUGGAAAGGCCCCAGAAGGGAGACCCUGACCUCUUGAUGGGCAUUUCUGUCCAGUGGACCGGGUCUUUGUUUUCAUUGCAAGAACAGCACAAGGCCAAGGCCUCAGGCAGACCUUGGUCUUUCUUUUCAAUUAUCCGAGGAGAGGGGAGUGCCAAGGCGAUGGGGGAAAAUGGAGAGCAGUGGGUAUCGUGGUAGACAGCCAAAACUUCUUUGGCUGUCCCUGCAGCCAAAUCCCAACAGGAAUUUUUUCAGUUCCUGAGCCAUGAGUUGCCCAUGUUGUGGUGGCUGAGCCUGGGCAGGUUGGUACCCCAGAAAAAAGGUGGUGGAGGGCUCACAUGGACAUGCAUGUCAUCAGUAGUCUUGGGCUGCCAUCUGAUCAUGAUGGACUUUCCAUGGAUUUCUCUUGUGGAUGACAGGUCAGCCAGUGGGGUUUCAAGGGCAGAUCCAAGGAGCAUGAAUGUCAGGCUCUGGCCUGUGGCCCUGGGUCACUUCUGGUCUUCUA